rnacentral:rRNA from 1 species
GACGAACGCUGGCGGCGUGCUUAACACAUGCAAGUCGAACGGAAAGGCCCUGCUUUUGUGGGGUGCUCGAGUGGCGAACGGGUGAGUAACACGUGAGUAACCUGCCCUUGACUUUGGGAUAACUUCAGGAAACUGGGGCUAAUACCGGAUAGGAGCUCCUGCUGCAUGGUGGGGGUUGGAAAGUUUCGGCGGUUGGGGAUGGACUCGCGGCUUAUCAGCUUGUUGGUGGGGUAAUGGCUUACCAAGGCUUUGACGGGUAGCCGGCCUGAGGGGGUGACCGGCCACAUUGGGACUGAGAUACGGCCCAGACUCCUACGGGAGGCAGCAGUGGGGAAUAUUGCACAAUGGGCGGAAGCCUGAUGCAGCAACGCCGCGUGCGGGAUGACGGCCUUCGGGUUGUAAACCGCUUUCGCCUGUGACGAAGCGUGAGUGACGGUAAUGGGUAAAGAAGCACCGGCUAACUACGUG